ACCAUGUUAAGUAAGUAGGGGGAAAUGAGGAAAUGGAUAGGCCUUGCCCCUAUGUUUAUAAUCUCAUAGGGAAUACAGAUGAAUAAAUGGCUCUUCCCACAUUGGGUGGUUAAUAUUUGUGAUGGGGAGGUGCAAGGUGCAAGGGAAACAGUUGGAGGGGCCCCAAUUCCCCUGACCACUCCACUGAAGCAGGUCACAACUGUACCCUACUCGCUGACCCCCACCCCCUUGCUCUUAUUGGUCUCUGGCCCACCAUCCUGUUUUAUUUCAUCAUAGUCCUAACACCAUCUGAAAUGAUAAUGUAUAUUUAUGUGUUUAUUUUUGGGUUUUGUGCCUUCUCCCACCAGAAUGGGUGUUCCACCAGGAGCAGGGACUAUGGAGAAUUUGUCAUCAGCAUGGAGACAGGAUCCAGAAAAGUACUGACAUGUAGUGCAUUUAGAAGGGACCUAGUUGGGGGAGGGGCUCAGAUUAGGUUUCUGCAAGAAAUUAUCUUCAGGUUGAGGCCUGAAGAAUGUGUUGGAGCUAACCAGGUUUCCUGGGAGUAGGGAGGAAGAUGGAGUAGAAGUUAGUGCUCUAAACUGAGAGAUGAGGAAAAUGAGGAACAAGUCCACUCAGCUACUAAUUCGUGGAGAACAAGAAUCACGUCCAGUCUGAUUCCAAGAUCUACACUCAUCCUAUCCAUAUUAUGCUGCCUUCUCAGGAUAGCAAGUAGUUUGGCUCCUUAAGUGACACUGGAUAUCUUUUUUAAAGAACCCAUGUGUUUGUUUAUGACAUGACUCAAUCUUGCUGGUGAUCUGGAAGGUCUGGUGCCUACUCAUGGAUUCUUUGAAUAAGCCCCAUGUUCUUGCUACUGAAUAAACAUGAUGUAUACCCCAUGUUAUCAAGAGGAUUCAUAGAUGAACAUGUGCUGGGUGCCUCUAAAGAAAGUAGAUCAACAAGUUUUUUUCUUUUGGUGAAGAGCAGAUGGGCUCAAAAUAAACCUCUGGUUCAUCAUACACGCUCAGACAACCCUCCAGGAAAGGGAGGUUUUUGCCCUCCUUUGCAAGGUCAGUCUCUUUCCAUUUUUUCCCCAAAUCCCCCCUCACCCCCACAGGCACUU
rnacentral:lncRNA from 1 species